rnacentral:rRNA from 1 species
AGCGAACGCUGGCGGCAGGCUUAACACAUGCAAGUCGAGCGGGCACUUUCUGAUGUCAGCGGCUGACGGGUGAGUAGCGCGUGGGAACGUGGCCUCUGGUUCGGAUUAACUCAUGGAAACUUGAUCUAAUAGCGGAUACGCCCCUUUUGGGACAGGCCUGCUGCCGGAGGAUGCGCCCGCGUCUGAUUCGCUAGUUGGUUAGGUAACGGCUCACCAAGGCGACGAUAAGUAGAUGGUCAGUGAGGCAGAUCCGACACACUGUGGCUGGGCAGCGGCCCAGACUACUACGGGAGGCAGGAGUGGGGAAUAUUGGAAAAUGGGGGCAAGGCAGAUGCAGUCAUGGCGGGAGAGUGAUGAAGUCCUGAGAGAUGUAAAGCUCUUUUAUCCGGGACGAUAAUGACGGUACCGGAGGAAUAAGCCCCGGCUAACUUCGUG